UACGUAGGGUGCGAGCGUUGUCCGGAAUUACUGGGCGUAAAGAGCUCGUAGGUGGUUUGUCGCGUUGUCCGUGAAAACUCACAACUCAAUUGUGGGCGUGCGGGCGAUACGGGCAGACUGGAGUACUGCAGGGGAGACUGGAAUUCCUGGUGUAGCGGUGGAAUGCGCAGAUAUCAGGAGGAACACCGAUGGCGAAGGCGGGUCUCUGGGCAGUAACUGACGCUGAGGAGCGAAAGCGUGGGGAGCGAACAGG
rnacentral:rRNA from 1 species